rnacentral:rRNA from 1 species
AUUGAACGCUGGCGGCAGGCCUAACACAUGCAAGUCGAACGGUAACAGGAAGCAGCUUGCUGCUUCGCUGACGAGUGGCGGACGGGUGAGUAAUGUCUGGGAAACUGCCUGAUGGAGGGGGAUAACUACUGGAAACGGUAGCUAAUACCGCAUAACGUCGCAAGACCAAAGAGGGGGACCUUAGGGCCUCUUGCCAUCGGAUGUGCCCAGAUGGGAUUAGCUAGUAGGUGGGGUAACGGCUCACCUAGGCGACGAUCCCUAGCUGGUCUGAGAGGAUGACCAGCCACACUGGAACUGAGACACGGUCCAUACUCCUACGGGAGGCAGCAGUGGGGAAUAUUGCACACUGGGCGCAAGCCUGAUGCAGCCAUGCCGCGUGUAUUAAGAAGGCCUUCGGGUUGUAAAGUACUUUCAGCGGGGAGGAAGGGAGUAAAGUUAAUACCUUUGCUCAUUGACGUUACCCGCAGAAGAAGCACCGGCUAACUCCGUG